rnacentral:rRNA from 1 species
AUUGAACGCUGGCGGCAGGCCUAACACAUGCAAGUCGAACGGAGUGGCGGACGGGUGAGUAAUGCGUGAGUAACUGCCCUCCUUUUUGGGAUAAGCCUUGGAAACGGGGUCUAAUACCGGAUAAGGGGGAUGGGCUCGCGUCCUAUCAGCUUGUUGGUGGGGUAGUGGCCUACCAAGGCGACGACGGGUAGCCGGCCUGAGAGGGCGACCGGCCACAUUGGGCUGAGAUACGGCCCAAACUCCUACGGGAGGCAGCAGGGGGGAAUAUUGCACAAUGGGGGAAACCCUGAUGCAGCAACGCCGCGUGCGGGAUGACGGCCUUCGGGUUGUAAACCGCUUUCAGCCAUGACGCGGUAGUGGCAGAAGAAGCACCGGCUAACUACGUGCCAGCAGCCGCGGUAAUAC